UUUAAGGAACCCAGGUUCUUCUAUGGCGUCACUUUGAAAAAAAAAAACCUUUUGGAACCUUUUCUUUUUGUUUGAGUCAGUUGAUAUUUUCUGCUUGCUCAAUCUCAGUACAUCUGCAUCUUUAUUGUGUGCUGUUUUGUUAAUUGUAAUCUUUUGAACAACUCUGAAAGUAGCACUCCUCGAACAUGCAGUCAGUAAACUCUAUUUUGACUGUCCCGAUUCUGCCUUCAUUUCACUCGUCUAUGAGCUGCUCUCCGUCCUCCCUCUUUGUCUCCUGAGCUUGAGAACAGAAAGACUGAACAUUCACACAGGCCUGAAGAGCAGUUUAGAGGGGAGGGCAGCUUUAAAAAGCUCUUUUCAGUUUGGACAACAUCCUCUGGUUUAUUUUGCCCAUUUUGUGUGCACUCCACCUCUCCCGUUCCCUCCAUCCCUUUUCAUCCUUUGAUUUCAUUCUGCCUUUCUUCUCUCCAUCCACGGGCUCUUUAUUCUUUCUUUUUUCCACCAGGUGACGCACUGCAAACACAAUACAGCUGAAGAGGAAGAAAGACGGAUGACUUUUGACUGCCGCCUCCUCUCUCUUCCUCCCUCUGUUAAAGGGCAGGCAUCAGUGUGUUCCGCAGUGAGCAAGCUGCCAAUGGAAAACAAAGGUUUACAUUAUAUUGUGCUGACGACAUCAGGUCUCCAUGACAGCUUAUGGGUACCAGACACCUAGAACAAGAUGGUCCGUUGCGUGUUUGUGAAACAGGACGAGGGAAAGAGAAUAAAAGCAACAAGAAAAAAUGUUAAUGUGUUUGA
ensembl:lncRNA